rnacentral:rRNA from 1 species
UGGUGGAGUGAUUUGUCUGGUUAAUUCCGAUAACGAACGAGACCUCAACCUACUAAAUAGAAAGGGUAACUGUCUACCGGGUGAAGGGGUUGAAGACCACGCUGCUAACGCGGUGUGGCUUUGGCUCUGGAUCCUUGACAAGUUGCUCUACUGUUCUUCUUAGAGGGACUAUUUGUCGUAUAGCGAAUGGAAGUUUGAGGCAAUAACA